UUAUAUUGAUGUCUAAAUAUCAGAUAAACCAUUUGACUCCUCAACAGUGCGUGCCUUGCUCCAGGAAUCCAAAAAAUUACUCCAUGCUUUCAGCUCGAGGUCGGACUACAACGGUGUCCUGCCCCGGGCUUACACUGCACUGACCAAACUGUGGGAGAGGCUGGCAGAGGUGAGGGCAGACAGUGAGCAGCAUUUAUCAGAAGACAUCAUGGUUCUUUCAGAAAAUGCUGAAAAAAUGGAAGCCACGACACCCAAUCUGCCAAACCCUGAAGAAAAAGAGUUACAUCCAAGCUUUCAUGUGGCUCAGGAAAGCAGGCACCAGGAAAUCUGGUCGGUCCUUGAGGGUGUUUGGAACACAAUGAACCUGUACAGUAUUGAAAUAUUCCAGAAGUUGGACCCCAGUGCAGUGACUAUGGCUGCAAAGUCUUCGUUUGAGGAAGCUUUUUUAGGCCUGCAGAAGCUGUUGGCAGCUGUGAAGGAUAUCCAGGAAGGAAUUAGUAGGUGAGCAUUCCA